rnacentral:rRNA from 1 species
GUGAGGAAUUUUGCGCAAUGGGGGAAACCCUGACGCAGCAACGCCGCGUGAGUGAUGAAGGCCUUCGGGUCGUAAAGCUCUGUCAAGUGGGAAGAAACCGCAUGAUGCUAAUAUCAUCAUGUCUUGACGGUACCUCCAGAAGAAGGCCCGGCCAACUACGUGCCAGCAGCCGCGGUAAUACGUAGGGGCCUAGCGUUGUCCGGAAUUAUUGGGCGUAAAGAGCUCGUAGGCGGCCCAACAAGUCGGAUGUGAAAUCUCAAGGCUCAACCUUGAAAUUGCAUCCGAUACUGAUGGGCUUGAGGCAGGUAGGGGAAGGUGGAAUUCCUGGUGUAGCGGUGAAAUGCGCAGAUAUCAGGAGGAACACCGGUGGCGAAGGCGGCCUUCUGGGCCUGUACUGACGCUGAGGAGCGAAAGCGUGGGGAGCAAACAGGAUUAGAAACCCUAGUAGUCC